rnacentral:rRNA from 1 species
GAGGUGGAGCAAAUCUCAAAAAGACCGUCCCAGUUCGGACCGCAGGCUGCAACCCGCCUGCGUGAAGUUGGAAUCGCUAGUAAUCGCGGAUCAGCAUGCCGCGGUGAAUACGUUCCCGGGCCUUGUACACACCGCCCGUCACACCAUGAGAGUCGGGAACACCCGAAGUCCGUAGCCUAACCGCAAGGGGGGCGCGGCCGAAGGUGGGUUCGAUAAUUGGGGUGAAGUCGUAACAAGGUACC